UGUGCGAGCGCAGGAAACGCUCAGUGUCACAGUGCCGGUGUGCGCGAGACGGCGCUCACAGACGUGCCGGUGCGCGCGAGACGGCGCUCACAGACGUGCCAGUGUGCGCGAGACAACUUUAUUUUCCUCUGUUUUCUGUAUAGACGCGCCGCCAUCAUCAUCAUCAUCAUCAUCAUCAUCAUCAUCAUCAUCAUCAUCAUCAUCAUCAUUAUUAUCAUCAUCAUCAUCAUCAUCAUCAUCAUCAUCACCGGCUUUAUUAUGACCAAGAGGACUUUCGGUGUCAGGGGACGACGUGGCGUUCACAGGUCAGCUGUUCAGAGAGAGAAAGAUGGCAGAAUGUUCCUGAAGUUUCUCCUGGCUUCACUUAAAGCUGUAAUGAAUCUGCAGCGAUACUCCGUAUCAGUGCGUCACCAUCUCGCUGACUCCAGAAAACAAACAUGCGUCUGAGACUGACAGAAGCGAGAGGCAUUAUUUUGUCUUCCAUGAAAGCACCAUAUCAGAUGUGGAGCCGAAGAGAGCACGUGGACGCCUCUGCACCAUCACCAGCGGAUGCUGUCACUUGGAUUAAGGCCAGAUCCUGCAGUGCUCCAAGACAGAAAUUCAGUUACUUAGUCGUGUGUGUGUGUGUGUGUGUGUGUGUGUGUUUAAUGUGACCUGACACGGUGAGACUGUGCAUUUCAUGAUCAGACAGGCCUCUUUAACACAGACACAGAACGUUUUCCUUUCAGAUUUCAUUGAGUGCUUUUUAUUUAUUUAUUUAUUUAUUUAUUUAUUUAUUUUUACAAUCAUUGUAGAAAUUAACUGAGACUUUAAUUAAACAAACAUGUAUUUUUAGCAUAGCUGUUAGCAGUAAGCAGGGUUAUUAGAUAGUGUGUGUGCUGCUGAUGUUUCACUGAUUUUCCUGUGACCUGACAUCGACCUUCAAGGAGAAAGCUAAGCUGACGUCGUCCCGCUUCACCGUCAUGUCCACGUUCGCCUCGGUGAACAUUCAACGCUGUCGGUGAGUUUGAGCUAAUCUGACAAAACCAUCGACCGUUGACUGUACCCCAUGGCUAAACUCUGACAGCACUCCUCAACACAGGCUACGCUACUGAGAGACGUCGUCUUCAUCCUCAGAACAGCUCCUGAGUGCUUUGGGCUCACCAAUAAAAGCUCUAUCAAAGGUCACAAUCAACAUUCAUUGCUGUCGGUGGGUUGCACUGUGAAGGAAAGCUCGCUGAACAAUGAAUGCAACUGUGUCCCAGUCUUUCUCAUCCCACGUUAAUGAACAGACAUGAUGAAAUCUUUUGCUAACUCGUGCUCGGUUUUGUUGAUAUCUCACAUAAUGAAAAAUGAGACUGUAUCUCAAAGACUGUCACUAGGUGCAGAACACUGCCUGUGUUAAGAAGAACAUCAGAAUAAAUGGGAUUCAUCACAGAUUUCAGUUUUUAAUAAUUUCUCAUUAUACCACAGCUUGGUGUGGACCUCAGAGCAUCUCACAGCAUACUGAAGGCUUCCAAUCACCAUUUUCCUGCCGUUUUAUUAACCACAUACACACAGUCGGACCUUCAUGAAACCUUUUCCAUCUAAGAAUUUGAAACAAAUUGUUUAUUUCAUGUUUAAAUGAAACUAAAAGUAAAGCAUGUAGGCCUGAAUGUUCUAGUGUUGGAUGAUGACCCAAAGGAUUAUUUGGAUGGAGUUAUGGACCAGCUGCUGUGUGCUUGAGGCGAACCUGAGGGAGCAGAGCAGGUUUAGUGACAUCAACAUUUAUCUACUACAGUUUACACAAGGAAGAGAAAAUGUACCCUGGCUUUCCAGGCUAAGCCGAGAUUAUAGCUGGUUGCUGUUCGUUCAUGAAAAAAAUGAUCUAAAAUAAAUUGGUCAAGUAGCUGAACAAGCUUAUCGUAUCUGCGUGCAGAUUCCUCUGUGACGGGAGAAAUGACUAGACAAUCCUCUGGAUUAAUUAUCGUCAGAUUACAGUUCAAAACAAACACCAAGCGGUGGCCAUCUUUUAUCUGUGGAUCUCUCCAUAUGGUUUUGUGUCAUCUUGUGAUGCCAAGAGGAAUAAAAUAAAGACCGUGAUCUCAAUGUGUUAAAGAGGAACGGAUGGUAUGUUUACGCCAUCGAGUAACAAGAAAGCAAGAAAAAAUAAUCAAAUGACAUGCAACACACACACACGCACACACACACACAUAAAUAAUUGAAUUUAUCUUCGGUAAGCUCUUUAUUUUAGUCAGGGUUGAGUUGGAUCUGGAGCCUUUCCCAGACGUGAUGUGCUGGAUGGGACACACUCACAGGUUAAAGUGGAUUAUGAUGAAUAAGUAGAUGUUGGAACUCUGACAGUGAUUGUGAGAAGGAGGUUACAGAUUCAAUUAGAUCUCAAACUCUAGUGUAGGGAUGAGGCUGUGGAUCGGCUCUGGUCUCUCCAUUCAACAGUCAAUACAUUUUAUUUUAAUAUCAUUACAGACUGUCUGCUGUUUUCCUGAAUGAGUGUUUUAGAAGUUCAAGAUGUUUAUUAGAAAUAAACAGCUUUAAAAAUCAUCAGA